rnacentral:rRNA from 1 species
UGGGGAAUAUUGGACAAUGGGGGCAACCCUGAUCCAGCAAUGCCGCGUGUGUGAAGAAGGCCUGCGGGUUGUAAAGCACUUUCAGUGGGGAGGAAGGUCUUAACGCUAAUAACGUUGAGAAUUGACGCUACCCACAGAAGAAGCACCGGCUAACUCUGUGCCAGCAGCCGCGGUAAUACAGAGGGUGCAAGCGUUAAUCGGAAUUACUGGGCGUAAAGGGCGCGUAGGUGGUUGAUUAAGUCAGAUGUGAAAACCCUGGGCUUAACUUAGGAAUUGCAUUUGAAACUGAUCGACUAGAGUUUGGGAGAGGGAAGUGGAAUUUCCGGUGUAGCGGUGAAAUGCGUAGAUAUCGGAAGGAACAUCAGUGGCGAAGGCGACUUCCUGGCCCGAUACUGACACUGAGGCGCGAAAGCGUGGGGAGCAAACAGGAUUAGAUACCCCGGUAGUCC